ensembl:misc_RNA Vault Vault RNA
GGGCUGGCUUUAGCCCAGCGGUUCCUUCGAUUCUGGCUUUCCAACCGCCCGGGCUGAUUGGUCCGGUGAUUUGAGACCUGCGGGCGCUCUCCAGUCCUUUU